UACGUAGGGGGCGAGCGUUGUUCGGAAUUACUGGGCGUAAAGGGCGCGCAGGCGGCGGACCAAGUCAGGCGUGAAAGCCCCGGGCUCAACCUGGGAGGUGCGUCUGGGACUGGUUUGCUGGAGUUCGGGAGAGGAGCGUGGAAUUCCCAGUGUAGAGGUGAAAUUCGUAGAUAUUGGGAAGAACACCGGUGGCGAAGGCGGCGCUCUGGACCGAGACUGACGCUGAGGCGCGAAAGCUAGGGGAGCAAACAGG
rnacentral:rRNA from 1 species